rnacentral:rRNA from 1 species
CGGGACGGGUGAGUAAUGUCUGGGAAACUGCCUGAUGGAGGGGGGUAACUACUGGAAACGGUAGCUAAUACCGCAUAACGUCGCAAGACCAAAGAGGGGACCUCGGGCCUCUUGCCAUCGGAUGUGCCCAGAUGGGAUUAGCUAGUAGGUGGGGUAACGGCUCACCUAGGCGACGAUCCCUAGCUGGUCUGAGAGGAUGACCAGCCACACUGGAACUGAGACACGGUCCAG